rnacentral:rRNA from 1 species
UACGAAGGGGGCUAGCGUUGUUCGGAAUCACUGGGCGUAAAGGGCGCGUAGGCGGCUUUGUAAGUCGGGGGUGAAAGCCUGUGGCUCAACCACAGAAUUGCCUUCGAUACUGCAUGGCUUGAGACCGGAAGAGGUAAGUGGAACUGCGAGUGUAGAGGUGAAAUUCGUAGAUAUUCGCAAGAACACCAGUGGCGAAGGCGGCUUACUGGUCUGUAACUGACGCUGAGGCGCGAAAGCGUGGGGAGCAAACAGG